GUGACACUUAGUUAAUUUUAACACACACAUACAGACCCCUACCUAUAUUUCUAUCUAUAAAAUUUUAUGAAAUACAGCAAGUAGCUGAAAGAUGCAUGCUUUUUAAAGAGCUGAUUGUUUAAGGGAAAAUAUUCUAAUUGUGUGCCUUCUACUACCAUAUUUGUCUUUUGUAUUUCAGUGAAGUCUUGAGGACCUCGUCUGUUGCGAUAGGUGUAUACGCAUGAGAAAAAAAGUGGUCUUUACCCCAGCUUCCCUGCAGCCAGGAGGAUGAACUUCUGUUCAACAGCCCAUCCUUUAAUAGACAUAAGAUCAAAGCAAUGUCAAGCAAGUGUUGCUAAUCCUUUUGAAUUAGUGGUGCAAGUUCAUGAGGUCACUUGUAAAAGUGAUGUAAUAUGCAGAAAACCUCUAAAAACUGAACAUAUGUUAUAUGUAAAGCAAGAAGCAAAGUAAACUGGAACAUUGAAAUGGGACUGAGUGACAUGCGUUCUGUAUCCACAUGGAAGGCACUAGAGACGAGGACACGGAGCUGGGACUGUAGACCUACUGGUGCUGACAACAGAUGGCUCAGAAUGUUCUCAGAGGAGAGCGUGAAGUGAAAAGGGAGAUAGAUAAUUGCUGUGAUCAUGCUGUUGGCCUGGAAGUCAGGAGUUGUUACUGGCUGCGAAAUGAUGCAAAGAAAUUAUUUGACCACAAUGGACAUGUAGUAGUAACAAGAUACUGCUCUGUGGAGAUGACAAAUGUAUAAAUCUCACAGAUUUCUCAGAAAGAGAAUUCUCAGAUACUUUUCUUCGUCCUCAAGAAAAAAACCACAAGGUAUUCUCAUUCCUCUGUUGAGCAUCCUGUAAAUGGAAACGGAAAUGUUUCUUGGGUAAGUUCCCAUUUUUAUAUUGAAAAUGCUGCGGGCCUUGUUC
rnacentral:lncRNA from 1 species